rnacentral:tRNA from 1 species
AUAAACUUAGUUAAAAAAUAACAUCAGCUUGUCAAGCUGGAAUCAGCCGCCACCGUUAGUUUAUA